UAGCCUAGUGGUUCAGGCUAUGGAUUGCCAAUCCGGAGACCGCGGGUUCGAUUCCCGU
rfam:Aedes albopictus isolate Foshan contig82406, whole genome shotgun sequence.